rnacentral:rRNA from 1 species
GAUGAACGCUAGCGGCGUGCCUAAUACAUGCAAGUCGAGCGAACAGAUAAGGAGCUUGCUCCUUUGACGUUAGCGGCGGACGGGUGAGUAACACGUGGGUAACCUACCUAUAAUACUGGGAUAACUUCGGGAAACCGGAGCUAAUACCGGAUAAUAUUUCGAACCGCAUGGUUCGAUAGUGAAAUAUGGUUUUUCUAUCACUUAUAGAUGGACCCGCGCCGUAUUAGCUAGUUGGUAAGGUAACGGCUUACCAAGGCGACGAUACGUAGCCGACCUGAGAGGGGGAUCGGCCACACUGGAACUGAGACACGGACCAGACUCCUACGGGAGGCAGCAGUAGGGAAUAUUCCGCAAUGGGCGAAAGCCUGACGGAGCAACGCCGCGUGAGUGAUGAAGGUCUUCGGAUCGUAAAACUCUGUUAUUAGGGAAGAACAUACGUGUAAGUAACUGUGCACGUCUUGACGGUACCUAAUCAGAAAGCCACGGCUAACUACGUG